GCUUGGCAACAGCGCGCCAUUCCUCUUUGCGUAUUGGGGCAGUUCAACAACGAGUCCGAUGUCUCCACCCCGCCCCGCGCAUUCGCUUCCCUGAGCGCUACUUCUCACGCUGACAAUAGUCCAGUUACCCCAGCGACCGUUGCACCGCACGUAGACUUCGCUUGUCGCUCUCCAACUGGGAGGAUCACCAAAUGUUGAUCAAAACUCUCGCGACCGGACGAUAACGCAGGACUGGAGCGAUAUCAUUUUGCGCUUCCCUACAAAGACGGCGAUCGCUGUCACGCGAAGGUCAGCACCGAAACUUCAGGUGGACACAACCAACAUUCAUGACUGGUCAGCUGGCGGCUGAUGGUGGGAAAAUCAUCUCUGCAACACCGCUCCAUCUUCCUCCGUCUCUGAAGUCUUGUGGACAAAAACAGGAAAGAGCGUGUCGGAAAGGAUAUUGUGUGUAGUGGAAUAAGACGUCCACGUUCAGCCUGUACAUAUUUUGGUGUUCAGGAAGUGUUGGCACCACCACCGCGUCUUUUGAACUUUAUACUUUUUGGAAUUAGCAGGCUCCUGGAAAAAACAGCAGGCGGAACUGAGCCACAGCCCCCUUGGUGUGUGGAAACAGAAAACAGAAACAUUACUUUACUUUACCCUGCGGGGCUUGCUGUGACCAUCGCCUAAAACAUCUUUGAUAUACAUACACCCAUCAAUCAGCUCUGCUCGCUAAUCUCUACACCUUUUGUUUUGUAUUUUU